rnacentral:tRNA from 1 species
GUUCCUAUAGUUGAAGACAACGGUGGUUCUUCGAGUCGCAGGUCUUGGUGAAAAUCCGAGUGGGAAUU